GGUGGUUCUCAGGUGACACACCCUGGAAUUGGGCUCCCUUCUCUCUGGUUCCGGGUGCAUCACCUGAGAACCACA
rfam:Myotis davidii contig50924, whole genome shotgun sequence.